rnacentral:lncRNA from 1 species
GGGGGCGGCGCAGUGGGGACCGGUGCAUUUUGGUUACUAAUUUUCUCUCAGGUUGAGGAGUCAAGAACUGAAAAUUAGAUGGUUUUUUGGAUUUGAGGAUGUGGAAGAUCCUAUGAUUCCUCAUGUGAGUUAACUAUUUGGACCUUAAUGUCCGACGACGAGUCUCUCAGCGUUUAACUUUGUUAAUUAUGGCUUUCUCUGUAUAAAUUUAGAUUUUUUUCUCUCUGUAGGCAGAUCUGUCAAUGUUAUUUUUAAAGUUCCUGGCCGGGAUGUCAUUCUGAGAGAACGCCUGUUCGCCUCAGCUGAACAUAGAUAGUUUCCCAUCCUUUCCUCUGGUCUGAGUUUUGAUUUGCUUCGGUGCUGGUUCUGACCUUUUGUCCCGCCUGUGAGAGCAGGGCUCCCAGCUCUUCGCGAUUUCCAUCUCCGGCUCUCUAUUGAGAUCCCUGCUCUGUUCCUGCUAGGUGGAGAAAGCAGUACUCACAAUAAAUCUUACCCAGACUUACAAUUAAAUAAAAGUAUCAGAACAUCUGGGUUUGUAAUGUUCAAGCCAGGAGAAUUUUAUUGGAAACAAGGGAGCAAUACAACAACUGAUUUGAAUAACCAACCUACUUCAGUGUGAAAAAAAUUAAUGUGAAGUACUGGAGAAGUGGUGUUGAAUAUAUGCUCCGUCUUUUGUAAGUUAACUAAUUACACUGUUCAAAACUGUUUACAAACAGUUCAGUUGAGGUCAGUUCAGUCGCUCAGUCAUGUCUGACUCUGCGACCCCAUGAAUUGCAGCACGCCAGGCCUCCCUGUCCAUCAACUGCCAGAGUUCACCCAAAC